rnacentral:rRNA from 1 species
AAUCUUCGGCAAUGGGCGCAAGCCUGACCGAGCGACGCCGCGUGUGCGAUGAAGGCCUUCGGGUUGUAAAGCACUGUCGAGGGGGAGAAAGCCGCAAGGUUGAUCGACCCCUGGAGGAAGCACGGGCUAAGUUCGUGCCAGCAGCCGCGGUAAGACGAACCGUGCGAACGUUGUUCGGAAUCACUGGGCUUAAAGGGCGCGUAGGCGGGCUGGCAAGUCAGAGGUGAAAGCCUGCGGCUCAACCGCAGAAGUGCCUUUGAUACUGUCGGUCUCGAGGGAGGUAGGGGCAUGUGGAACUUCCGGUGGAGCGGUGAAAUGCGUAGAUAUCGGAAGGAACGCCGGUGGCGAAAGCGACGUGCUGGACCUCUACUGACGCUGAGGCGCGAAAGCCAGGGGAGCAAACGGG